rnacentral:rRNA from 1 species
AUACGUAGGUGGCAAGCGUUGUCCGGAAUUAUUGGGCGUAAAGCGCGCGCAGGUGGUUCCUUAAGUCUGAUGUGAAAGCCCCCGGCUCAACCGGGGAGGGUCAUUGGAAACUGGGGAACUUGAGUGCAGAAGAGGAUAGUGGAAUUCCAAGUGUAGCGGUGAAAUGCGUAGAGAUUUGGAGGAACACCAGUGGCGAAGGCGACUGUCUGGUCUGUAACUGACACUGAGGCGCGAAAGCGUGGGGAGCAAACAGGAUUAGAUACCCUGGUAGUCCACGCCGUAAACGAUGAGUGCUAAGUGUUGGGGGGUUUCCGCCCCUCAGUGCUGCAGCUAACGCAUUAAGCACUCUGCCUGGGGAGUACGGUCGCAAGACUGAAACUCAAAGGAAUUGACGGGG